rnacentral:piRNA from 1 species
UACGGGAAAAGGUUAAAGUCAAUG